rnacentral:rRNA from 1 species
AAUAUUUGACCAUCGGGGCACCCCUGAUCCAGCCAUCCCGCGUGCGCGAUGAAGGACUUCGGGUUGUAAAGCACUCUUGGCAGGGAUGGAAAGGCUCUGGCUAAUACCUGGAGCUGCUGACGGUACCUGCCGAAUAAGCACCGGCUAACUACGUGCCAGCAGACGCGGUAAUACGUAGGGUGCAAGCGUUAAUCGGAAUCACUGGGCGUAAAGCGUGCGCAGGCGGUUCGGCAAGAAGGAUGUGAAAUCCCAGGGCUUAACCUUGGAACUGCAUUCUUAACUGCCGGGCUAGAGUAUGUCAGAGGGGGGUAGAAUUCCGCGUGUAGCAGUGAAAUGCGUAGAGAUGCGGAGGAAUACCGAUGGCGAAGGCAGCCCCCUGGGAUAAUACUGACGCUCAUGCACGAAAGCGUGGGGAGCAAACA